ACAGAGUAUUUUCAAAAUUUCAAAUAAUAUUUGAGCGAAUGUUGAUUCUUCUAGAGAUUCUGCCUGUCUUGUCCUGUCGAUUCAUUGUACAUUGUCCUUCCGUAAAUAAUUAUUUAAAAUUUAAUGUUUGUGUUUGCUAACAAACUUAACAAAUAAUCGCGCCAAAAAGUUGUAUUUAUGUUUAUUAUGUGGUUUAAUAAAUUUUAUGAUUCAAGCAGAUAUAGCUUACGUACUUCAGAAAAGUAGAAGAUUCAAGUAAUGGGUUUGAUCUAUGGAGAGUUUAAAGUACAUGAAUAUGGAUUUUAAGCUAUGCCGAACCUGUGGAAAAGCUGGUAUUAAUUUCAUAAAUAUAUUUAGAACUGAAGGUCUGAAAACUAAGCUUGAAACUUGUCUUUCCAUUGUUGUCUCAGAGCAUAGCCUUCUACCACAUUUCAUAUGUCCAGAAUGUCUUUCAUCUAUAGAAAACUUUUAUGUUUUUAAAAAGUGCUGUCUUCAAAACAUCAUUAUCUUAGAAAACCACUUUAACACAGUGGAUUCCUGUCUCAAAACCAAACAAAGGCAAGAAAAAAGCUGCCAAGUUUCAUUGCCAGAAAUUAAAGAAAUAUCAACUCAAACAGAAAAUGUUCUAGUAAAAGUCUGUCACUCAGGCGGAAAUAAUUUUCAGUUAAUGGAUCAAAUUGUAACUUACAAUGGAAAAUCGUCAAACGGUUUGGUAAAUUAUAGUGGUGUUGAUUCUGAAAGUUCAGGUUCAGAAAACCCAAACGAUACGCGCUCAAACAUUGAUCAAGUAACCGAUAGUAAAAAAUUAACAAAAUUCCAAUUAUUUGACGAUUUACUCGAUGGAUCAUCAACUAAUAAUGCAGCAGAGUCGGCCUAUGAAGGAGGCUUAGUUUUAGAACACUGCUUAAAUGACAGCGCUGAAAUUCAAAAUAUGAAAAAACGUAAAAGCAACACUUUUAAUGAAAACUUCUUUGAGUGUGAGGACAAUUUAAAAUAUACGAGUAAAAAAAAACGUAGUUCACCCAAUAAAUGUGACAAAAGUGAUAGUGUUAAUUUAUGGGAUCAAACGACAUUUCAAAUUAACUUAAAGGGUGUUACUACAGAGAAAGGAAAUGAGGAUAUAAGUGAAUUUCAAACACCUCCUCAACGCUGUGACCUUUGCAGUAUGGAAUUAACAGACUCCGAUACACUUAUAGAACAUAUAAAAACUGCUCAUACUAUCCAAGAUGUUAGUCAUCAAAAUGAAACCUUGUUAGAAUCCCAGAAAGACUCAGAGUCUCACACUACCAGUGCAAUUGAAAAGUAUCCGAGUCUCUGGAAAAUUUUUCAACUGAAGCAUAGAGUAUCAUUUGAUAUUUCAUCGGAUUGUCUUAGUGAACGUGACGAAUUCGCCUACCUAAAACCAGUAAAGUGUCCAAAUUGCUCAGUAGGAUUUACAACAAAGACAGAACUAUUUGUUCAUCUGAAAUUGAAGCACUCGGAAAUAUCAACGUUUAUAUGUGGAAUUUGUCUAAAUAUCAGCAGUUCUGCAGGAGCUUUAAAAGAUCACGUUUCGGAGUGUCGUCAAAAAACUCCCGCUACGCAUAGAUAUUUCUGCCAAAUAUGUUAUUUUGGCGAUGACAAUCACCGCAGCAUGGAAAGUCACGUUUUGGUUCAUAAUUUUUUGUGGAAAGACUGCCAGAGAGAGAUUCGAAAUUUUGAUCCAGAAGAUUAUAUCCAAUUGAAUCCAAAUUUCAUUGCCACUUCAGCUUCUCCAAUCAAAUAUUUCUCUUGUCUGGAAUGUUACUCAGUUAAAUUUGAUUCUUUUAGAAAGUUUUCGGAGCAUAGAAGAGAGUUUCAUUCGGUAUUUCAUUGUGAUUUGUGCAAUAAGUUUUAUAGCAGAAAUGCAUCACUACGGAAGCACGCCAAUACCGCGCAUAAGGGUCAUCCAAGUAUCACCUGUCAGAUUUGUAUGAAAACAAAGGCUUCCAAGUAUCAUUUGGCUCAACACUUUGCUGACAUACAUCAGCUUGAUAACACUAAAAUACCGGGUUUACAGAAUGUUCAAUAUGAAAAUCACGAUGUAGCUAAGGAGAAUAUUGCUAUAGCUGAAAUUGAGCCGCAGCUCUUAAGAGAUUCUGCAAAACAGGAUUUAAUGGAGAAAACGACCAAAAACUCAUUUGAACAAAACCAAUCCAAAGAACUCGAUGCCGAUCAUGAUGAUGAAAAUAACGUUCCGUUAACAAAUCACUCUUCGCAGAAAAUAGAAGAAUUUAAAUGUCCUCACUGCUCUAAAGGCUUCCAUAAUAAAUUGGCAAUGGUAAAACACGAGACAACAUGCGAGUUGAGGAAUCAAAAAGCUCCGACGUGCAAUAUUUGUUCGAAGAUUUUUAAAAAUAAAGAUACCCUUUUGAAGCAUCAUACCAGAUGCCAUUCAGAGUAUGAAUGCGAGAUCUGUAAUAAAAAGAUUACUGGUAAAUGUGAAAUUAUUAGACAUAUAAGGUUUCAACAUCCAUCAAGCUAUCUAGAAUGUAAACUAUGUAAAUCUAUUUUAAGAAAUAAAAAGGACCUUUUGCAUCAUUUGGAGGACCACGAAAACUCUUUUAUUUGCCAGUUUUGUGGAGAUUGUCUUACCAGUAAAAUAAAAAUCAGAAUGCAUAUUCUAGGUUUGCAUGGAAAAAUAUUGAGCUUAAGCUGUAGUAUUUGUUUAAAGAUGUUUGAUACCCAGCAAGUUCUGCGUGAUCAUGUUAACUUAACACACAAGGAUCGAGUAACAUCAAAAUGUUCGUGUCCAGUGUGUGGGAAAAACUAUUGCUCCAAGUGGACGACGUUUGAUCAUAUCAAUAGAACUCACGGCGAAGUUUUUAAAGCGUGUAAGAUAUGCUUGGACCUAUUCGAGUCUGAACCAGAACUUCACAAUCAUUUGCAAUUGACUCACAAUAUUCAAUCAAUGGAGACAAACAUCAGUGCUCCUACAAAAACUGCAGGUAUUGUAGCAAAUCAGGUAAAAUGCCAAAAAACGAGCAAAGGUGAGCAGAGUGAUUAUCAACAUGACAACGGUAGCGAAGAACAACAUGACGAACAUAUUUUAGAGAUCCGAUGCACUGAAAAUGAAGGCCCAAAAAAUAUGAAGGAUUCAGCUAGUUCCACCAAAGUAAAUAAGGAAAUAGGUAAAACGAAAGCAAAGAAAAGAAAGGUUUACGAUAAUAACGAUGUUCCUGGUACCUGUGAGUUCUGCCACAAGACUUGUCCUUCGAGAAAACACUUAUGGCAACACUGUCUCAGGUAUCACAAAGAGGGCGCCGCGACCGUUUGCGGAAUAUGCUUGAAAUCAAUGCCGAAUUAUGAAGAAUUACAGAUGCAUUUGCGAGAGGAGCAUCCCUUACUGCUAUACGGCCAGGGUUGUGGAUCUAAGUUCAUAUGCCAAAUUUGUGGAAGAUAUCACAACUCAAGCAGCAAGUUAGAGAAGCAUAUGAUAGUACAUGAAAAAUUCGAUUGGAAAAUUAUGGAUCGGUUCCCACCGCUCCCAAAAUUCAAUUAUAACAAAAAUCAGAUGGCUAAAAUCAGAGAUGCCUGUUCCCAGUUGCAAGCUCCUGACAAGGAGCAAAAAGGAGUAGAACAUUUAGAGGCCAUUGAAGACAUCAAUGAAGCUUUAAUCGAACAAGUAACAGAAUCAAGCUGCGAAUCUGAGAUCGAGAGCUAAGUCCCGUCAAUAUUCCGACUUAAACUAAUCCACUGGCGGUGUGAGCUCCUUAUAUAUUCGCCAGACCAGGGCUCAGAAAGAUUCACCUACCUUCCACCGUCUCCAGAGAUGUCGCGCGGUAUGAUUCCGGAAUAACAAAGAACAACUGAUAUUCGUGCAAUUAUAUUCAAAUGAAUAAGUUCAUUUGAGUCUUCCGCUGCUAGAUUUUCGUUAUACCACACCACAGAUACAUCAAUUGGAAAUUAAGUGAUUUCUACUUUGGAUUAUCAGAGUUUUUACAUGUAUAGCAAUUAAUCUUGUGAUAAUUCGAAUUACUUUUAGAAUUUACAUUUCAGCGUUAAACUGCGAUUUAUAUUAAUUUAUUUUGUUAUUAUUUUUAAUGUUAAGUGAUGAACAAGAAUAUACAACCAUUUUUCAAUUAAAUCUAAAAAUGAAAACAGCUCUGUUGUUAUAUUUUGUUCACCAUGGUAACUUAAUAUUUGUUGUGAUUAGUUUAUGAUUAUCACAUAGUUUAGUUUCGCAUUUAUUUUAAUAAAUGUGUUUUUCGAUG
rnacentral:misc_RNA from 1 species